rnacentral:lncRNA from 1 species
CCUGGACAGGCCAGCUCACUUGGUCCAGCCCCAGGCCCCACACCUGUAACAAGGGCCGUGAUGACAGAGGUCUCAGCAAACAGCCCGCGGCCAAGGAGCUGGUGCAGCGAGGAGGGCAGGGGCCCACGCGCAGCCAUCCUCCAGAGAGCAUCAGUCUAGGCUGCAAGCUUGAAGCGGAGCAGAGAGUGGGGAGCAGUUUUCAGAGUCCUUCCCUCGCGUGGGAUGGAAGAGAAGCCGCUGGGCAUAGCUGAGAGUUGCCUGUCCUAUAAAGCGAAUUCUCCACUGAGAGGGUGGUACUUUCCUUGGCACACUGAUCAGGCUCUCUGGAUGCAGAAGCCGGACUCACUGCAGAGGCAGCUGUGCUGUUCCUGGAGCUUCUGGGGUGCGUCCACCUCUCAGGGUUCGCCCAGGCCGGCUCCAAGUGCCAGGGGCAUCCGAGGUGGGUACCUGCCCUUCUGGGUGCCGACAGCAGAGCCUGCCUUCCCUCUGUCACCAUGAGCGGCUGCUCCAAAAGAUGCAAGCUGGGCUUCGUGAAAUUUGCCCAAACCAUCUUUAAGCUCAUCACUGGGACCCUCAGCAAAGGUAGGGAGCCUGGCCCUGCCCCUCGUUUUCUGCCUUGGCGUGGCCUGGCUGGUCAGAGUGUCUCAGUGUGGUAAGUGUGGCCGUUCCGGUGCGCCUCGGUCUCAGAGGAGGCUGGAGGGGAAAUCAGUGGCUGGGUGUCGGGGUGGCUGACAACCUGGGUCGUGCCUCUGAGCAGACGGGCACCAGGCCAGGGAGCUCAGCCGGCUUUAAUUGCCUGGAACUUUGGAAAUGGGUUUGGUGGUGUGUGGCUGAUUGGUUACAGGCGGGCAGAGGGACAGAACCCUUCCCAGAGUACUGGAAGCGGCUUAGCGUGACUAGAGUUUCAAGAAGUUAUCCGCGGAGUGCUGUGUCUUGUUGAUAAAAGAGAGAUUUGAUGCGGUGGGCUAUAAGUCUGCAGAACAGGAACGCUGGAGGGGGCCAGCAGGAGGUGGCUGCAGGGCUGGAAUCCACUGUGCACUGGUGGAUACUGGAUCCGGGAUCCCAAUCAGCUCUGGAUCUGGUGUGCCAAGAGCUUUCUCUCGUGGGGUUCCAGGGUUCUGCGGUUCUGGGCUCCGUUCAUCAUGUCUUUGCUUUCUUGGAUCCCUGUCCUUCUGCGUCUCCUGCUCAUGCCUGUGUCUGUUGUCUCUACUUCUCCAAGAACUGGGGUGGCAGGGCGUUUGCAGGUCUCACUUCCCCGGGGCGGCCCAGAAAGGGAGGUUGCGGACCAGAGCUAGGACUGCGCGUGCGCAGUUCAGCACCAGGAUGCCGAGGGGAGGCUGACUUCUCAGGGGUGUCUCUGGGGCCCCAUGUUACACUCUGUACCAGGGAGCCUGAGGCACUCAGAGACACUCUGGCAAACUUUCUGGAGAUAAUAUUUAAAGCGAGAGCAGCAGUGUGAUGUGGUUGCACUGGCUGAAAAAAUGUCUUUAAAUAUUCAUGCCCUUCGUUCGGGAGGAAGGAGUCUUUGGGGGAGAUGCACUGGAAGCAGCAGGCAGGGUAUUAUUUGGGGAGGGAGGGAGGCCCGUAAACCCCUGAUUAGGAUUUUAAAAGAUGGCAAUGAAAGGAUAUAAAGACUGCGCAUGGUCACCUCCAAGGGCCUGGUUCAGGUCCCCUGCUGCUCAGCAGGUCCAGCCUGGGUGCAAAUGGGAGGAGGAAUGGGGAAAUUUUGCUUAUCUCCUUUCUCUGGCCCUUUUGUCAUUCCUGUUCUGUGCCCACUGCUCUUCUGAAAAGGGGCACUGCUCGCCCCACCUCCCACCCCAGGAAGCCCAGGUGCGCCGAAUGUCCAAUGCUGAGGGUCAGGCUGCCUGCCGGGCAGAAUUCUGGGGGCUCUAAGUGGGAAGGACUCAGGUGAGGCAGAGAGAGUGGAGGGCUGUGAGGGUUGUGCAGAGUUCCCCAUUCAAUCCUCCGAGACAAAUUCAGGCUUUUCUCCUCACAUCAAGUGUCCUGGAAUCUCAAGGGCUGAUGGGUGAGGGGCAGCACCCUAUCCCAGUCUCUGCUCCCCGGAAAUGCUGUGGAACAUGCUUUGGUCUGGACUUAGGCAACCAAGUUCUCAGCUCCAGCUUUGCUUCCUGUGCAAGCCACAGCCUCCCUGAGCCUCAGUAUCCUCAUCUGUAAAAUGAGUCUGUUACCUCCACCCUUGCUCCCUCCAGCUCUGUUGCCAAGGAUCCAGGGAAGCUGAGUGUGUUGCAAUGACCCAACUGAAGGAGCGGCCAGGGACUGAGAUGCGUGUGGGUCUGGACAGGGUGACCCAGGCCAUCCCCUGUGCCUGCCCAGGAUCAAAGGCUCUUUAAUUCAGUGACCGCAGGUGGGUCCGUAGACUCCAGGCAGCAUCAGAGGGAGAGAGAGAUCACAGAAGGACAAAAUGCAGCAAGAGGGGGUGAACAUGAGCCAGUGAGUGAGUCAGGAAGAGAGAGUGUGUGCAAAGCAGGGUGUGUGUGUGUGUGUGUGUGUGUGUGUGUGUGAGAGAGAGAGAGAGAGAGAGAGAGAGAGAUCGAAAGAGGAUAGAUAGCCACUUGAAUAAAUAAGCAUGAAGAUACUUUCGUCUGUGUAUCUGCCUGCAGUCAUUUGCUUAGUAUUUAUUUAUUGAGCACCUGCUCUGUGCCACAUUCAUGGCCAGACACUGGACACCAGGAUGGAUAAGCCAAGCCCUCCAUCUGGGAGCACGCAUUGGCACAGACCAAAGACACAGACACCACGGGCACAUCAUGCUCAGUGCUGAGAUGGAGGGAGGCUUGGGAGCCAAAGGGCACUGAGAGGAGAAGCCUGGGGCAGAAGAGGUUCCUCCAAAGGUGGCAUCUCAACUGAGAUGAGCAGGAGGGGCAGGGCGGGCUGGGCAGGGGAAGGAGGUUGGCGCUGGUUAGGGAGCAGUACUAGAGCACCAGCCUCUGCAGAGAAACCAGCCAGUGGGUCAGGACGGCCCCUCCCUCUGCUCAGAAUCCCAGCAACUACGAUCCAUGUGACACAGAAAUGGCUCCUCAGGGACCAGCACGGGGGAACGAGUGGCCGCCUGGACUUCCUCUGACCUACUUCAGUACUCAGUUUCCUCGAGCCACGGCAGGCGCCAGGGCAGGGCACAAGCUAUUUCCACAGCUCUGGCUCUGUGUCAGGCACACUCUGGGAACCCAGGGGUCUGCCUGACCCAGGUGGUCGGUAAAUAUUUUUUGAAAUAAAUGACCAAGAGAGCAGGACCACACUUAGAGCAGGGGGAUGAAGAAAGGUCUUUCUCAUGUAUAGACCAGCCCUAAGUGAAUUUAGACUCGACCCUGCAUGGACACAUGCCAUGUGCAUAAUGAUUUCUGGUUUUCCUUGUGAUUUCACUUAUUUGUUACCCAUCGCACUGAGUUCUAGAUGUGCAAUAAUCCACCCUUUAGGAGAAAGACUUCUCUUAGCUCCUUUCAGGAUUGAGGAAUGUGAAGCGUCUCUACGGCCAGGUGCCUCCUGCUGGUCCUGGGGACAACUCAUUGUUUCUUAUUCUUAUUCCUUAUUCUUGGGAAUAACUGGGGCCCACGACUGCCCCUCUGUGUCCCACCUGCUCCUGGCCUGGCCACCUCCCCCUGUCGCCAGCAGUCCCCUUACCCAGUGGUCUCAGCUGUCGGGUGGCUCAGAUUGCUCAUGGGCGCCCUUUGCAGAGGUGAACUGACCAGGUCCUCCUGGUCACACAUGUCCUUGGCUUUGAGCUUUGCCUUCAUGGCUCUGAUCCCAAUCUGGGAUCCGUCUUUCUUUUAGGGACACGUUUGCUAAAGGCCGUUUUCCCCACUUGACCUAAGCCCACAUGUGUGUUUGCUCACCAUUGUAGCCAGAGCUAAUCACCCAGCACCCAGGCCAGAGUGGGUGCUUCACUAGCAGAACUGAGUGAAUGAAGCAUUGCUGCACAGCACCCGACGUGCUUGAAGUGACUUGAGUUUCUAGGAAGCACCGUACACGCGCCUGUCCCAGAGGGGUUCUGUAAACACGCUCCCACCUCUGUCCAGCUGCGGGACCGGAUUUGGUGGCCAGAGAGUGAGACUCUGGCCAGACAGACUAUUCAGGACCUGAGCUUCUUAGUGUCUUGGGAAGGGCAUUUAAACUGUCAGAAGAGGAGUUCCCAUCGAGGCUCAGUGGCUAAUGAAUCCGACUAGGAACCAUGAGGUUGCAGGUUUGAUCCCUGGCCUUGCUCAGUGGGUUAAGGAUCCGGCGUUGCCAUGAGCUGUGGUGUGGGUCAUAGAUGCAGCUUGGAUCUGGCGUUGCUGUGGCUCUGGUGUAGGCUGGUGGCUACAGCUCCAAUUAGACCCCUAGCCUGCGAACCUCCAUAUGCUGUGGGUGCAGCCCUAGAAAAGACAAAAAGAAUAAAAGAAUAAAAAAAAUAAACUGUCAUAAGAGGGGAGGCUGUGUAAGGUGUGUGUGUGUGUAUUGUGGGGAUGGGGGUGUUCUGGCAGCCCCCGCUCCUGCCCCUUCUGCUCCACUUUGAUUUGUUUUACAAACUAGAUUUCUCUGAAAUGAAACGAACGAGUUUUCUUUGUGUGUAUAUGUAGGUGUAAAACGUGUAAACCAGUUAUGCAGUGGAAAAGGCAGUUGGUUGCCAGGCUGGUUCACCUUUAGGUCUUCUGGACACUGACUAGGGAACCCGUGCUGGGUCCCUCACCUCUCUCUGGCCUCAGUUACCUAAUCUAUAAAAUGGAAUCAUAAACACGCUCCUUAGGGCAUUGAACGAGACCCUAUAGAAAGCCUCCUGCAUAGUAAGGACCGGGCAGCUUUCCCUGGCGAUGCUGCAGUGGUUGGCUGGUGUUCUCAGGGCUGAGACGCCUCACUCACUGCUUGUUUCUUGAGCCGCUGACACACACUCUGAGAGCAGCUUCUGUCGUCUCCAGGACCUUUGCUGUCCCCGCUCUCCUGAACUCGCUCUCCAUGGCCCCAUCCAACAUCACCACGGCUGACACCUGAGCCGAUUCCCACACCUGAUUCCCUGCCUAGGCCUUAGGUGUGUGACUCCCAGAGCCAGGCCCUCCCCUGCUCUAAAGUACCCACCAGAAGUGCAGCUCCUGACUUGGAUGCUUAGUUGAACCAGGCUCUGGGAAACCUGCCUUCUCCUCCUGCGCAGCCAGCCAGCUCCCCAACCCCGGCUCAGAGACCCCUGGGGCUGAGGGCAGGAGCCAGAGCUUUGCGCCAGCUCCACUCCAGCUGGGGAGAUUUAAACCCUUUCCUUCUGCAUUUUGGGAACCCAUCUGUCACCCCAGGCACAGAUGGCAAAGCCAAAGCAAGAAGGAGGGAUCCUAUCCAGGAGAGCUUCAGUUGUCCCGGCCACCCGCAUGGCUGCUGGGUCGGAAAGGGGGUGGUGCUGACCUUCAAGAUUUAUCUCAAGGGCACUGCCCUGAGCCCCAACUCUCCCUCCCGCCCAGACCCGGGGCGUUUCUCUCUGCGCAAGGCAGGACCUCAGCUUCAGACCCACUGGAGACAGACUGUUCCUCCCGCCUCCUUCCCACCGCCUUUCGAGAAGCCUCAAGACACUGACUUUGAACUUGGGGAGGGCUCUGCCCUCAGGCAGGCUGGGCUGGAGUCCCAGUCUUGUGGUUCACCAGCUGUGUGCGCUUGGGUGAGUUGCACGACCUCCCCAACCCAAGGCUCCUCACUGUUUGCUGGAUAUAAGAGCAGUAUCAGCCACACAAGGUCAUCUUAAUAAUUCAACAGGGAGGCUACAGGGCAUAAGCUGGCAACUAGCAGGGCGAGGGGCUACUUGCAGGGCACUUGCAGGGAGCUGAGAGUGAGGCUUCCUUCAACUGUGUGCCUUAGGCACCUCUCUUUUCUCCCCCGGCCCCAACCCCGAAAGUAGACAUUACAAAUCACCGUUUUAGCAGUUUCAAGGAAACUGACCUUUAGCCAAGACAGGCGACCCAGCUGGCAAUGAGUGGCUGGGCUGGGAUUAGAACCCAGGUCCAAGUGGGGCCAAGACCAAGUGCUAGCCUCUCCACAGAGCUGGAGAAGAGGCCCCUGUGAGCACCACUACCCACUUUGUCACCAGCAGAAUGCCCCCAGCUUCCCGCUAAUGCUGUAGGUGGGUUUAUCAAGAACAGUUAUACCUGCUCAAUCGCUUCAGGGCAGCCACCGUCUUGCGAGGAGUUGGCACGAGUUCCAUAACAUGGCAUGGCCUGGGUUCGGAAUAAGCUUGAGGAGGAAAGGGAACACCCCCACAGGCCAAGGUCAGCAAGACGGCCCCAUGGGUGCUCUCCUAGCAUCAUUAUCACGUCUUAGAUGGGUGCACUGGUGCCUGGGUACCUGCUGGCUGGUGAGUGAGCCCCGAACCCAUAUGAAGGACCCUCUCCGCUGUUCUCCCUUCUUAGGGGCUAGUGUGAGAAGCAGUCUUACCAGUGGAGAAAUAUACUAGUUUUAGGGCACCAGGCAGUCGGAAAUUGAGAUACUGACUUUUUAUUGGAAUUGUCUAGAAAAGCAAUGGCCUUGACUCUGAGGACCUUGGAAUCUGUGAGAUGUGACAGUGCCCCAUGCCUAAAGGAGGCCACUACCUGUCUCCUGAGAAGCUCAGCUGGUGUGCACCUCCCUUUGCCAGGGAACUUGGGGUCCCAGCUGCCCUGGGUCAUGUUAGCACAGCCCCCUUCCUGGUUGCAACUGCGAACUUCCAGUGCUUAUGCCUUGUCUUAGGCAGAAAGUUCAAUCGUUCUGACCCAUGCAUGCUUCGCCAGCCCCAAGCUGGAGCCCUCCAGGAUGGGCCGUGUGCUCACUUUGGCUCUCCCAUGCCCUAAGUAGCCCUCACCCCAGCCUACAGGUCUCUUAGCCUUGUCCCUCUGUCUCUGUCCCAUCACUCCCUGGUCCAUUUCACUGGCCAGGUGCUCUCUGAGUCCCAUAGUCCCCUAGCAGCAGGGAGAGAGGAAGGUGGGACCUCCUUUACCUGCCAAGCCUGUCCCUCUAGAAGAACUCUUUUCUAGAUGACAUCGAUACCAGGCAGGAAUAAUUUGUUCAGGGCUGUUUAUCCUGGCACUUCUGCACAUUCGUCCUGUUAACUUAGGGACCACGGGGGAGCGGCUAGUUUGUUCCAAAUUAAAAGUACUAGGAAUGGGCCCCUCUGGCAGGCAGGAAGGCUGCAAUACAAAGACACAGGGUGAUGUGGCUCAAAUCAGGUCUUAAUAAGCCUUUGGGGGCCCAGAGGUCCCUGGCCAUGCCAGUGUGACCCUCACCUUCCCCAUGCUUCUUAGGGUUCCAGAAUCUUCCCUGGACCACCUCUCUCACCAGACCCAAGUCCCUGAGAGGUGUUGAUUCCUGAGAGUGGAGAUGGGAGAGCCAUGGAAGGCAGGACGAUUCAGGGAAAGUAAGGGCACCGCUCUGGAGCCAGACGGUCCCGGGUUCGAAUCCUGCCACUUCCUGGGGCAAGCCAUGUCCCACCUUGAGUCUGCAUCCUUCCCUGGAAAAUGGGGCUGGUCAUUCUCACGUCAUGGGACCACAAGGAGAUGGUACAUGUGACACGCUCAGUAUCCAACACAUAUCAGAGAACAACUUCCUGGGAGAAAUCAACUUCCCACCCUCGUCUUCUUUUCCUGCGAGCAAUGAGGUCCUGCUCUGUAGCACAGGGAACCUCAGCCGGUCACUUGUGAUGGAACAUGAUGGAGAAUAAUGUAAGAAAAAGAAUGUGGGUAUAUAUGUGUGUGUAUGUAUAGAGAGAGAGAGAGAGAGAGAGAGAGAGAGAGAGUGAGCUGGGUUCCUUUGCUGUACAGCAGAAAUUGACAGAACAUUGUAAAUCAACUAUAAUUUAAAAAAAAAAAAAAA